GUUUGCUCAGCUCCAUAUGUGGAAAGGGAAAAGACUUCUAACUGUUUAGCACAAUAACAGACCAAAACAAAAGGAGCAAUCAUUUCACUCGUGCUUAGGACAUCAAACUCAUUGCUGAGAUGAUUUAGCUUGGCCAUUAGACAGGAGGAAGCUGCUGCUGGAGCUCUGGGAGCUCCAAAGCCAGAAGAGACCACCCUGCUCUGCCCUAACAGGAUCUGUGUCCUCAGUGGAGAAGGUCGGUCACAGGCCAGCCACCAGGGAGCAGAGAGAGUGCCUACAUGUACGGACUCUCCUCCUACCUGUCGUCCCCCGCCAGAGCUUCCAGGGGCUGAACCCAGUUGGAAGCCAGAGGGCAAGGGGAACACUGAACAUGUCAUCCUUAGAGGCCAGCAGAGAAGCGUGGAGAGCAGACCCAGAGGGCCAGAUGGCGAGUAACCAACACAUUCCUGUAACAUGAUGUUUAUCCAUCUGUGAUGCCCCCUUGCACCCCUUAAACUUUCAGAAGAGUGGGUUGUAAACACCAAGUGAAUCAGACUGUAAAUGUGUAUGUCAAUGACACAAACACAAGUGAAGUCACAGGCAAGGAUAGAAGCAUGUCUCACCCAUCUAGACUGCUGAGAGAGCGCCCCCUGCAGACCAGGGGCCACCAUUCUAGAGCUUGCGGCAGCUCAGCCCUCAGCUCCCACCAGGCAAACAGAACUGAAGUCAUCUCUUAGCCGCCAGUGGGCCACGGCUCUGUUACCAAGGAGCAUGACUCUGGAGGUGAAGAGACCAGUCCGUGGAAGGAACCCCCACAACUCCCUUCUUCGCCACAAGCCAGCAAAAUCAGGAAGCAGAGCAAGGAAGAUGGCUCUCCCACUAACAGUUGGGGGAUGCGUUCCCCAUGUGUUUUGAGAGAAGAAGGCAGCACGGUAAACCCUUCCGAGAUACACGACUCUGGGGCCCAGAGGUGGACUUUUAAAGGAAUUCAGCUGAUCUCCCCACCUCAGCAGCUCAGCAACCCUGCAACCCGGAUGCUCACUCUAUUUGGUACCAAGCCUGCACUUGACUGCUGAAACUGCAGGUGACCAGCCGAAGUGACACAAACUUCCCAGAUGCUUGGACCAGGCCACCCGGUGAUUUAUUGACAGAGGCAGCUUUGCUUGAAGGUCAACACCAGGGCAAUUUGACUAGGCAGGUUGCUAAACCCUAAGGCAGUCAGGGUUUUAAAAUGUAGUUUUUUAUGCUCUCUAUGUCUAGCUAGUUUUAAUGAGCUAUGGUUUUCUUGUGCAAGAAUUAAAGAGCAGUUCCUCAUAGGGACAAAUCCAGGCAAGGGACCAGAGACACAAAUGGCCCCAUUUUCCCCUGGCCCUGCCACCUAUUCGAGGCCAUGGGAAGUAGCCCUGGAUUUCACACCUCCAGACAGGCAGAACAUCAGCCUGUCUCCAGUUGUAAAGGCCUGCUGACUGCUACUAAUAACAUACAUGAUUCUGCUGGGAAGCCUGAGGAGGAAUCGUCUACUUAUUACCUAGUGAAUCAAUUUUAACUUUGAAAGAAAAGACCUAGACUGUGGACCGCAGUGCACAGUGGAGUACGGCGUGGAAAUCCUAGCAGGGUUUUGAUGCCCGGUUUCUGAAAGGGGAAGAGAGGCCCGUCCCCACCUCCCUUUCACCUGUUUUUCUGCUCAGAGUGUGGGAAAGAAGACCUCGUUCCCGGCAGAGGCAGCCUGUGCUCUUCAGCUGGAGCCCUUGAGAGCCGACACUGCGGCAGCAGGGAGCUAGGGCCGGGGGGCCGGGGUGCAGCAUCGUGUUGCCGGCCGCUGAAAGGUGUGGAUGAGAUGAUGCUGAUUACAAGGACUGCAGGAAAGUGGAGAGCGAGCUUCUGAAAAUGGCUGAGACAGGAAGAAAGAAGUGCCCUGUGCGUCCAGGAAAGCGGAUAGUGCGUAUUGGGUGCCUCUUGUGUGUUGGUCAUUCAAAGAUAAGGCCCGUCCCACCUGAAGUUAGCCUGGCUGCUUCUCCCAGGGGCCUUCUCAGAGGCUGGGGGAAAUGGAGUAUCAUUUUCAAUGAAGAAGCAAAUCGGACUGGGAGACCCAUGAGCAUGGUGUAUGGCAAACCAUAAAGCCAUGGGGCCAGAAAGUGUGUUCUCCUGACCCAUUUCUCAGCACAGCUUUGCACAGCCAGCACCUGUCCCUGUCACACAGGAGGCAACACACGAGGGCAGGGCGCUCUGUGUUCCUCUGCUCCCCGGCAGCACCGGGAGUGGUCCGUGGCUCGGACACUAGACCCUCUUACGGAGAGGGAGCUCUCUGUGAUUCUCUUAAAACCUCUCAGACACAGGAAAAAGAGAUGGUCCAGCUUGGUUGUCCCUGUGUUUCACUUUACUGCUCAGUCACACCUUGAGAACAACACAAAAAGGAGAGAAGAGAAAACUUUCACUUAUAUGUGGAAUCUAAAAUAAUGACAAAUGAACUUACUUAUAAAACAAACAGACAGACAUAAAAAACAAACUUAUGGUU